CAGCAGUGGAAGGUCAUGCUUGGUCAGCUGCUGGUCAGUUUAGCAAGAGUCUCUGCGUUCUGUGCUUGUGCAAAACAGGAAGCAGCGCUGAUACGCUAGUAAAUACCAGCACACAGGCAUCUGACACGUUGGGAAGUUGGAAAGUGGGAGAUAUGAACAGAAAUACAACUGCUAGCCUCAGUGUUCUGGCAUGUGGAGAGGAGGAGGAUUGUGCAGUGUUGGGUUUCACAAUGGCAGGCGUCCUGAAAAAGAGGAAAAAAGCGGCGGUUGUUCUCAGCAGUUAGCUUCCUGUUGCGGCUCCGGGUCUCGAUGUGUGUUUGCUUGACUUUGUUUAUGAGGAUGUUUCUAUGACACUAGGAUCUCUGGGUUUGCUUAGCAACUGCGCCGCAAAGUGAAGCACUGCAGCGGUGAGUCAACCUGCUGUCGUACUGACGAGAGAUGAAGGACAGAUGAUAGAACUAGAGAUGCUGUCAGACUGCGUGAGCAAGCCGCGUGGGCUCAAACACAGAGACAGCGGCGGAUGAUUCACACCGGCUCGAGUGCUCCUUUUGUGAGCCGCGGCUGCCGCAUCUCUGCUGUAACACGGCCUUCAUAGAAAUGAAGCCACGAAGGGCCUUGAAAUGGAUGGAAGCAACACAAACCGAGAGCUGUGAGCUCUGGGCUGACAUUGACAGAGGGAGUCUAUUCAUAGCCGAUGGAGAAAUUCAAGCUUUAAAAUGUCUUCAUUUCAUACGUGCCUGUAGCUGGUCGUGCGUAGCGUUUUUCGGCAAUAAAACGUACAAACUUGA